rnacentral:lncRNA from 1 species
CGGCAGUCACAAAGGCAAAGGAACUCCAGGCUACGGCCACAAUUCAGCCUCAACUCUCCCCCAUUGUGCCCAGCCACAGCAAUGGUCUCAGAGCCGUCGGGGGUCUUACAUAUCUCAUACGUGCAGCAAAGUGGGGGAACAAUGUGACAAAUUAUGAACAAGCUAAGAGCUGAGCCUGUGGAAUUCUGCCCUUUAUCUAAACAUUCAAUCAAUACUAUUCUUGCUGAAGAAAACAAAAGAUCCAGGCAAACUUUCAGAGUCCAUUCUCCCAAGAGCCAAAGGUGACAAAGCUCCAGUGAUGUGGGUGAUCAUCCUUGUUCCUAACACUUCUUUGUCUUCAAGAGCCCACCUUCUCUCAACCUCCUGGUGCCUCAAUUUCUUCAUCUGCAAGGAAAAAUGACCCUCAAGGAGGAAUUAAGAAGUGAAAGAGACAGCUUGGAAUGAAGAACAAGGCCGGUAAACCAUGCCAACCACUUCGCCUGGGGUUCAACUGAAAGAGUGAUGGUCUCUUCCAUGGCAGGACGAGGAAAACUCAAUGGGAUUGGGCUUUUUUGAGAGCCUGUACACAAAGCAGUGUAUUCUGUACUUUCUGUGGAAUUUAAGGGAAUUUUUCAGGGGCUACUUUUAACUAUAUGACUGAUUUUCCAUCUUAUUACCUCCAAUUUAUAAUAUAAGAAGCUAUCCUUA